GAAAUGCGAAAGGCAAUGCGAAUUGCAGAAUUCCGCGAGUCAUCAGAUCUUUGAACGCAAGUGGCGCCUACCGGAUAUCCGGUUGGCAUGCUUGUUUCAGUGUCUUAUCUCUAACAUAACUCAAUGUGAUUGAUAUUAUCAUUGAUAAUAUCUCUCAUGAAGUUAGAAUGUGCGUGCACUUCAACACAACGAAGUAGUCACAUGUGUAUAUGUGAUCUCGUUGAUGAGUGAAAUGCAUAAUAUUGUGCACAUAGAUAAGUCAAAUAAACUUAACAAAAAGUAUCUGAAAUCAAGCAAGAUCACCCGCUGAACUUAAGC
rnacentral:misc_RNA from 1 species